rnacentral:lncRNA from 1 species
AUGCGAGCUAGCACUUUAGAGAAAAUCGAUCAGAUCGGAGCUUCAAGUGAAUUUUUGUAGAGGUCAGAUGCAUGUGCGGCUAUGAGCAACCAGCAAGGAUCAUCUUUACCAUAUCUCUCAGUAGCGGCGAUCAUCGAUCCAUGCUCAGGUAUCAAAUUCUGAACUCAGAUUAGAAGUAGAUGUGAUAUACUACUCACAUGCAUGAAUGCUG